GUCAGCGGCAGACGGGUGAGUAACGCGUGGGAACGUACCUUUUGGUUCGGAACAACACAGGGAAACUUGUGCUAAUACCGAAUAAGCCCUUACGGGGAAAGAUUUAUCGCCGAAAGAUCGGCCCGCGUCUGAUUAGCUAGUUGGUGAGGUAAUGGCUCACCAAGGCGACGAUCAGUAGCUGGUCUGAGAGGAUGAUCAGCCACAUUGGGACUGAGACACGGCCCAAACUCCUACGGGAGGCAGCAGUGGGGAAUAUUGGACAAUGGGGGCAACCCUGAUCCAGCCAUGCCGCGUGAGUGAUGAAGGCCCUAGGGUUGUAAAGCUCUUUUGUGCGGGAAGAUAAUGACGGUACCGCAAGAAUAAGCCCCGGCUAACUUCGUGCCAGCAGCCGCGGUAAUACGAAGGGGGCUAGCGUUGCUCGGAAUCACUGGGCGUAAAGGGUGCGUAGGCGGGUUUUUAAGUCAGGGGUGAAAUCCUGGAGCUCAACUCCAGAACUGCCUUUGAUACUGAAGAUCUUGAGUCCGGGAGAGGUGAGUGGAACUGCGAGUGUAGAGGUGAAAUUCGUAGAUAUUCGCAAGAACACCAGUGGCGAAGGCGGCUCACUGGCCCGGUACUGACGCUGAGGCACGAAAGCGUGGGGAGCAAACAGGAUUAGA
rnacentral:rRNA from 1 species